rnacentral:rRNA from 1 species
ACGCUGGCGGCGUGCCUAACACAUGCAAGUCGAACGGACGAGGGGAGCUUGCUCCCUGAGUUAGUGGCGAACGGGUGAGUAACGCGUGAGCAACCUGCCUUUCAGAGGGGGACAACGGUUGGAAACGACCGCUAAUACCGCAUGAAGCAAUCGGACCGCAUGAUCUGAUUGCCAAAGAUUUUUAUCGCUGAAAGAUGGGCUCGCGUCUGAUUAGAUAGUUGGUGGGGUAACGGCUCACCAAGUCGACGAUCAGUAGCCGGACUGAGAGGUUGAACGGCCACAUUGGGACUGAGAUACGGCCCAGACUCCUACGGGAGGCAGCAGUGGGGAAUAUUGGGCAAUGGGGGAAACCCUGACCCAGCAACGCCGCGUGAAGGAAGAAGGCUUUCGGGUUGUAAACUUCUUUUACCAGGGACGAAGGACGUGACGGUACCUGGAGAAAAAGCCACGGCUAACUACGUGCCAGCCGCCGC